rnacentral:rRNA from 1 species
GCAGUAGCCACGGUAAUACGUAGGUGGCAAGCGUUGUCCGGAAUUAUUGGGCGUAAAGGGCUCGCAGGCGGUUUCUUAAGUCUGAUGUGAAAGCCCCCGGCUCAACCGGGGAGGGUCAUUGGAAACUGGGAAACUUGAGUGCAGAAGAGGAGAGUGGAAUUCCACGUGUAGCGGUGAAAUGCGUAGAGAUGUGGAGGAACACCAGUGGCGAAGGCGACUCUCUGGUCUGUAACUGACGCUGAGGAGCGAAAGCGUGGGGAGCGAACAGGAUUAGAUACCCGCGUAGUCCCUGUCUCUUAUAC